rnacentral:lncRNA from 1 species
GUUGGUUCAGCUGGUUAAAGAGGGGACAAGUAUCCUCUUGAUCACUGGUUCGACUCCCGAAGGGAGCACGUAGUUUGCAGGCUAUUGCGUGGGUUUACCCAGUGCGCACCCCCGAAGUGUAGCGGCUGUGGGUUCCUACGUUAAAGUUUGCAGGCUCGCAUAGGUUUACGGGUUUUCUCUUUUCUUCUUUUAUUAAACCUUUUCAAACUUCACAGUUUACAUAAGUAAAGUUAACAUUGAGUACACUGAGUAGACGAAGUACAGAGAAAACAGGUUGCGGGUUGCGGGUUGGGUCAAGCUAAUAUAAAGAAAAAUCAAUUGAGAUGAUGGAUUAUAAUGUAAGUUUUACAUUCUUUUGAAGAAUUGCAAUUCAAUUUAUAUAUAUUUUCAAUGUAUAUGUUCUAUGUGUUUGUUAAAGUGUCUAUGAUGAUUUACAUAUGAAGCAGUGGUUAGAAAUAGCUAGUAUUAUUUCUAAUUGAGUUGUAGUCACAUAUUACCAGUUAAGUUCGAGUUAUGUAAUGCAUAUUUGGAGCUUAAUUUUAGAAUUUGAAGCUUAUCUAUUACUUUACUAUGAGAAAUCUGCUUAGGUUAUCCAUGUGUAUGAAGAAUACGUAAGUUUAGGACCAAUAUAAUUGGAAAUGGCACUAGUUUAGGAGCAUCUUCUACCUGAUCAACCCUACAGAGCCCACAUAUCAGAGAAUUGAAAGUGAACAUAUCUGGUUUACAUCCUCCGUUUACCAUGUCAGCGUAUAGUUCCAGAGCCUCCUUAACCUUCUCAUCCUUAGCUAAAGCAUUUAUCAGGCAGUUGUAUCCAACAGUGUUUAAGCGGAUCCCCAAUGCUGACAUUUCACGGACAGCUUCUUCUGCUUCCUUCAAUCUGCCGACCUUGCAGAACCCGUUGAUCAAACUCGUGUAUGUUAUUAGGUUGGGCUUGCAACCCAUAAUUUCCAUCUCUUUCAUCAAAUUUCGUGCUAAAGAAAAAGAUUUUCUCGAACAUAGACCACGGAUGAUUAUGUUAUAUGUAUAGAUAUCUGGAUUGCAACCAACAGCGGGCAUCCCCUGCCUCAAAACAGCAUUGGCAUCAUCAAACUGUCCAUUGGCCACAUAACCAUUAAUCAAAGUAUUGAACAAAACAACAUUAGGCUCGGGCACUCUCUCCAGAAUAGCUCUAGCUUUAUCAACUUGACCAGUUCGGCAUAAUCCAUCCAUUAAAAUUCCUUAAGUAAACUUGCUAGGAGUGAAGCCUCAGAGAAGCAUUCUAUCGACCAAUUUAGCACCUUCAGGUAUCCUCUUAGCACGGCAAAGACCAUGAAUAACAUCAUUAAAAGUAUCAACAUCAGGUGUGCAACCCAUCAGAAACAUUUCCUCCAAAUAUCUUAUCACGUCAUUUAUUCUGUUCACCUUACAAAGCGCAUGUAUAAGUGUCUGGUAAAUAACUGAAUUCGGCACACACCCAUGUUCUGUCAUAUCUCUUAAAAGUGAACAUGCAGAAUCCACCUCAUUAACCAUACAAAGCACUUUCAUCACCACACCGAACGUUAAAACAGUUGGAGAAAUCCCCUUGUGCAACAUCUCAUAAAAAAUAUUCGGUGCAACAGCCGGGCAAUCCCCAGCAACCAAUAUAUCCAGAACAACAUUAUAAGACCUAAAACUAGGUUCGCAACUAAAAACAUCCCUCAUAUCAAAAAGUAACCGCGUCGAUUGACCAGGUAAACCAGCUCUACCAUAAUGCCUCAUCAUAGAAAUAAAAAGUGACUCCUGAAAAACUACCCCUUCAUCUUUCAUCCGCAGCAACAAUCCAUCAAUCAACUUAAACUCCCCGGCCGCUCCAAGUUUAUUAAUCAAAGUACAAUACACAUCAAAUGUAUGAGUAUACCCCAUUUGAGUACCCGCCUUACGGAACAAAUCCACAGAAGUAGGGACAUCAAGGGGGAGUUGAAGCAACUUAUUAAGCUGAUACGGUGCAAGUCGAUUAAGGGACUUUCGAAGCUGUUCAAUGUCAAAUGGUUCAAGCAAACUUUCCCAAUCUGUUUCAGGGGAUGACCCAUUCUUAUAAUCAGAAUUACCAACAACAUUUCCAUCAUCCCCAAUUGAACUACAAUAUGUAAAGAUUGGAUUUUUAUACAAAGAUUGAACCUUUUUGACAAAAUGACACCCAAGAUUCAAUCUUUUGAGCAUAACUCUUAUUGGGUAAUUGUAAACAAGCAAAAGCUAAGCACACAACUGAUUGGCAUUACACAUACAUAAACUUUUCAGGGUUAUAAGCAAUUGUGUGUAUACAUGUAUGUAUAUGUGCAUAUAGAGUUGAAAAAUAUAUGAGAAACAGAGCAGAAUAAAGAGCUCUAACCUGGGAAAAAUAUCUUGCAUAUAGUGUUUGUAUUUGCUGCAAAAAGCUUCUGCACUAAUUAUUCAGUGAGCAGCGGAUCGGGUCUAAAGUCAAAUUUUCAAAUCAAUUGGGUGUUUGUAUGUGCAUAUAAUUCAGCACACAAUAAAGCUGAUCAUGGCUUAUGGACCAGAAAGCUGCUUCUUCAGCUUUUUCAAAGAAAUUUUCUUUCAACAUUGCUACACACUAUGGUUUCAGCCGCAUUGCUUGUUAAUCAAUCUCGUCGAAUUGAUCUAUAUCAUCUACCCAUAAAGUUUCAUCAUCUAAUUGAAGCGCCCACAAGUUUCCUCAUUUCUUUCUAUCUAUAUUCCCAUGUUAUAACUAGUACAUUAGCAAAGGCGUUCUUUUCUAAUAUCUCGGAUAUUCAUAUAAAAGAGUACACAUGUAAAACAAAAAUACUAAACAAACUCAUGAACUAAAUAUUAAUGACCACAAAUAAUAAUCACACAAAAUACAAAUAAAAAAGCGGAAACCAAAGAAAUAUUCAGAAGAGAUGAUUCAAAACUUUCUAACAAUUACAAAACUAAUCUUUAAAAUUUGUGAGUCAUAAAGCCUGGAUGAUGACCUUGUGACAGAGAUAGCUAACCAUGCCUCUCAUCAUUCAUCUCAAUGACAAUGUUAUGCAAGAUGCGGCAAGCUGUGCUAAUACUUUGACGCUUCUCAGCUUUCAUUACAAGUGUAAGAACCUUCCAUUCUUCCUUUAGCCGCCUAUCCAUUGUCUCAGCAGUCAUUCUUUCCUCAGUAGCAGUGGCUGUCCCAUGGAGGUGGCGAAGGCCAUUUUCUACCAAGGCCUCCACAAAGGACCUUGUAACCUUAUCAGCAGUAAAAGAGUGCGUACCAAUUUCCUUACUGAUUGAGUUCAGUGACUUGCCAAAUUUUAGCCUUCUCAACGCUAUGGCUACUUUAUCAACCACGGUCAAUUCUCUAUUAUCGUUAAAUUUGUAUGUGUGUGACUUGGACAUUGGCUCCAUCACAAGAGAGCACAAGUAUCUGAAGGUUCUCAUUGAGAUCCCGCAGUACUCUUCGACUCUAGUCGAGUCUUCCAAGAGAGGAAAAUGUCCUGCAAAGAAGAGAAGAAAAUGCAUUUUUAUAAAUACGACUAAGACACUGCCAUAAUGUGUUUAUCAUGCUGAAAACUUGAACAUAUUAGAUUAAUGCAUAACACCAUACUAGUCCAUUCAUUUCAGUAUACAUACACAUAUCGACCUGUAAACUGUAUAAACAAAAUGAAGCUAGAAUGUCAAAAAUGAAGAUCAGUAAACUGCUGGUGAUUAACACACAGGGAUAUAUCACAUUCAGUAAGGUUCCAAUCUGAAAAGAAUGCUACAGCUUUCAUAUCAAAUCUGAAUCAAUAUGAACUGAUUAUAGGUGGAUACUUUCAGUAUUCAUAGCUAGUUACAAGCUCCUAGGAAAACAAACCCUUACAAGAACUAAGUACAUAACAACAUAUUCGAAAACAACAGAUUACAUAUUGUUCCAAAGACUAAGACAACUGGAAGCAGUUUGACCUUAAUUACUAGUUUGACCUUGUGGAACUGGAAAUAGAAAUAUUUUGAAUGUACUUACCUAAAAUCAAUCCCUUGCUACUUUGGAAAAAAAAGCUAGUCCUGAAUUCACUGGUGAUUUAUAAUUCACAUAACCAGAAGAUGAUUAUACUCAGUAUAAUUUCGAUUUACCUCAUAUUUUCUUCUAUGUAUGCCCCAAUGCCAAAAUCUGAAUUGCUUUCUUUCCCAUAUUACAGAGUAUAAACAAAGAAACUGAAAUAUCCACAAGAACUACAUACGAAUCACAUCAACUUCCUCAACUCCUUGCAAAUCUAAGGACUCUAAUCCCAUCAAAAAAAUUUAUAUGCACAUUACAUAACUCCCAGAAUUAAAAGUUAAAUGUUUAUCAUCUUCAUUGUACUAAGCGACAAUUAAAUUCUAGGUCAAAUAAGACUCCGAACCACAGAUUGAGGAUUUAUUCCUUCUCUAUCUAAAGUAAUUUUCAAUAAAUCAAAAGAAAAAUCAACUAGUCACAAAUUAAAAUUUCAUCAAACACAGAUGAACAAGCAAACAUAAAAUUACUUCAGAAAAAAAAAGGGUAGCACAUACCAAACUAUAAUGAAAUCGACAAGAACAGUUCAUCACCACUGAAUGAGAACAACUUAAAAUCCAUGAAAUUUUAAAGAUUUACAUACCAGCAAUCCUCUUCACGAAUUCGGCAAACCAAAUAACGUAAUUCAAAGGAAAUUUGCCACAAUUAGCUUCAUUUCUUUCCAUUCUCUUGAAGCAAAGUUCUUAAAAACUUAAAAUUAAAGGAGAUAUAAAGAAAGUGGUUUGAGAUGGAGAUUGAUUUUCCUUACCACCGUACAAUAACUCUAAAGUUUGUUGGAACACAAAAGUUUAUAAAGAGUGAGAUGGAUGGGUCUUGGGUGAAGUCAGCGUGUUGAUGGAGGUUAAAAGAAAUAGAAUAGUAAGAGUAGGAGUAUGUUUGUGAAUACUGGAGGUGGGCUUCAUAUAUACAAAUUUAUCCUUAGAAAAUUGUAAUUGGGCAUAAUAUAAAUUUUAUUUCAAAGCUGUAGCUCAUAUAUAAAGUAAAAUAAAGUAACUAAAAUAUACUCACUCCAUCCCAUAAAGCAUGAGCUAAUCAAUUUUACGCGCAUUUAAGAAAUUUGAGUAUGAUUAUUUGAUAUGUAUUUGCAUUCACAAAAAGAUGAGUUAGUGGAUGAUGACUAAGCAUUUACUUGAACAUGUGGUUACAGCUAUCUUAAAACAUACUAUAUAAAGUGGUGUCACGGAAAAAAUUUUCAACAUCCCACGUCACUAAGUUAUAUCAAUGCCUUUAUCAGCACAAACUUACAACUAAUAUUGUAUCGGAAUUGAUAACUCUUUUGUAUCAACUUAUAGUUGGUUGUUGAUUGACGUAGUAUGUUUGGCUUGGACUGUAACAAAUUUUGUCUGAGGUCGACCCUGCCAAAAGUGCCUUAAAAGGAUUUCUUCAGUUUUUGGGCUCGACGAGGACGUUAAACUUAUAUAAUGUGGAAAAACUGUAACAUUUCAUAGUAUGUAAGUGUGGACGCAUUUAUAAAUGUUGUAGAAAAGUCGUUAGCUCUUUUGGUUUGGUCUAUGGUGAGUUGUUGAACCAUCUCCUUCACUUUGGCUUGGGGUGUUACACAUUGAAUGCAGUAUAGAAUUUUGUUAUAAUUAUAAGUAUGUAUUUCUUUAUAUAUAUUCAAGUUGAUUGAAAAAUUAUUUAAAUUAAAUGGUACGAUGUAUAAAUCUUCAUAAGCUAUAACUUUAAUAUAAUAGACCUACUUGACUACGUCGAGACAUAUAAAAUUAUGACAAAAAUCCAAUUUAUUAUAAGAUAUGAUUAUAAUAAUAACCUCAAAUACAUAGAUCUGCCAAUUUGGUAUACAACAGAAAACAAAUGACACGAAAAAUAUGGAUAUCGAUUCACCAUUUUGUUAUACGAAUACGAAAGUAUACGAUCGUAAAACGUGUUCAGGUCAGAACUCUCAGGUGCAUUGCCUAAAGCAUAUAAUGCACCUGAGAGUUUUGACCCGAACACGUCAAAAUAUAAAGGGAUAUUUCUAAUGGUCCAUUUUAUGAUCGGGUACUUUCGUAUUCGUAUAUCGAAAUGGUAAUCGUUUUCCUUAUUUUUCGUGUCAAUUUUUCUUUUGUGUCGCAUACCAAAUUAAUGGCUUUAUCUAUUUUAGGUUUUUAUUAAAUUAUGUCUUCUAAUAAAUUAGAUUUUUUCUCAUAAAUUUAUAUGUAUAUUGUAUAGUCAGAUAGGUCUAUUAUAUUAAUGUAGUAGCUUACGAAGGUCAAUACAUUUAAUUAGUUAACUUAAAUAAUUUUUCACUCAACUUGAAGAGAUACAUAUAUAUGUGUGUGUGUGUGUAUCUUUGUGUGUGUGCUUAAUUAUAAUAAAAUUAUAUAAUUAUAUAAUAUAUCAAUUGUAUAACACCCUAAUCCUACGAGAAGCAAAUGGUUCAACAACUCACCACAGAGCAAUCCAAAAAAGCUAGCGACUUUGCUAAAACGUUUAUAAAGGCGUCCAAACUUACCACAGUAGGAUGUUACAGUUUUUCCACACAAUUAGUUUGACGUCCUCGUGGGGCCCAAAAGCUGAAGAAAUUUUGUGAAGCACUUUUGGCAGGGUCGAGCUCUGACAAAAUUCAUUACAGUCCAAUCCUAAUAUACUACAUCAUUCAACAACCCACUAUAAGUUGAUCCAAAAGAGGUAUCAAUCCCGAUGCAGUAUUAGUUAUAAGUUGUGCUCAUAAAGGCAUUGAUAUAACAUACCUAACUUAGUCAGGUGGCAGUAGCAAACUUUCUCCGUGACACUACGGGAAAGAAAGUAGUUCAGAUUUUGGCAUUGAGGCAUACAUAAAAGAAAAUAUGAGGCAAAUCCAAAUAACAACAGAAAGUCACCCUAGACCCAUCCAUCUCACUCUUUAUAAACUUUUGUGUUCCAACAAACUUUAAAGUCGCAAACUUUAGAGUUAUUGUACGGUGGUAAGGAAAAUCAAUCUCCAUUCCUCAAAGCACUUUCUUUUUAUAUCCUUUUAAUUUUAAGUUUUUAAGAAAUUUACUUUAAGAGAGUGGAAAGAAGUGAAGCUAAUUGUGGCAAAUUCCCUCCGAAUUACGUUAUUUGGUUUGCCGAAUUCGUGAAGAGGAUUGUUGGUAUGUAUAUCUUCAUGUAUAUUAAGUUCUCAUUAAGUGGUGACUGUUCUUGUCGAUUUCGUUAUGGUUUGGUAUGUAUUACCUUUUCUUUUCCGAAGUAAUUUUAUCUUUGCUUGUUUAUCUGUGUUUAAUGAAAUUUUAAUUUGUGACUAGUUGAUUUGUGUUUUAAUUUACUGAAAAUUACUUUAGAUAGAGAAUGAAUAAAUCCUCAAUCCGUGGUUCGGAGGCUUAUUUGGCCUAAAAUUUAAUUGUCGCUUAGCACAAUGAAGAUAUAAACAUUUUAAUUUUAAUUAUGGGAGUCAUGUAAUGUAUUUAAAUUGUGCUAAUGUGAUUAGAGUCCUAAGAUUUGCAAGGAGUUGAGGAAGUUGAUGUGAUUCCUAUGUGGUUCCUAUGUAGUUGUUGAUUACUACUCGGUAUAUUUUGGAUUUACCUCAUAUUUUCUUCUAUGUAUGCCCAAUAACUACUUUAUUUCCCGUAUUACGGAGCACAAACAAAGAAACUAAAAUAUCCACAAAAGCCACAUAGGAAUCGCAUCAAGUUCCUCAACUCUUUGCAAAUCUCAUAACUGUAAUCCCAAUAGCACUGUUUAAAUAGAUUACAUGACUCCCGGAUUUAAAAGUUGAAUGUUUAUAUCUUCAUUUGUACGAGGCGAAAAUUAAAUUAUGGGUCAAAUAAGAUUCUGACACUAUAGAUUGGGGAUUUAAUCAUUCCCUAUCUACACUCAUUUUUAGUAAAUCAAAAUACAAACCAACCAGUCCCGAAUUAUAAUUUCAUCAAACACAGAUGAACAAGCAUACAUAAAAUUACUUUGCAAAAACAACAGGUAGCACAUACCAAAACAUAACGAAAUCGACAGGAACAGUUGAGCACCACCAAAUCAGAACUUUAUAUACAUGAGAAUUUAAAGAUUAACAUACCAGAAAUCCUCUUCACGAAUUCAGCAAACCAAAUAACGUAAUUCACAUCAGGGAAUUCUCCAAUAUUUGCUUCACUGCUUUCCAUUCUCUUAAAUCAAAGUUUUUAAAAACUUCAAAUUAGAAAGAGAUAAAAAAAAAAAGUGGUUCGAGGAAUGAAGAUUGUUUUUCCUUACCACCGGAGAAUAACUCUAAAGUUUGCGACUUUAAAGUUUGUUGGAACACAAAGGUAUAUAAAAAGUAUAUGUGUUCUAAAGCAAGAACUUAGAGAAUUUCAGACAAUGAUACAAAAGUUCUGCUUUUCUUGCUGAGGCUUCAACAUUGUUUACAUAGUAAUUACACAAGUGAAUAUAUACAUUUCUCCAUCCAUUACCUAGUACCUACUCUCCCUGAGUUUCUGUAAAUGCUUUGCCGAUUCACAUCUGGGGUUUACAAUUACAAGUCCAGAGUAUCUCCCAUUUUCAAUCAACGCCGUCUGAACAAACAAAUCAGACCCAAAACCUCUAAUCAUCAGUAUCUAAAGUAUCUGGUUGGGGACUUGUGUCAAACAGGUGGCGCGCAUACGAGACCUCAUCGGUGACCCGUGAAAACAUCUUACGUAAUAGCUAGGUUAGGGCAACAACGUUGAUAUCUAAAGCGGUUUUGGAGAUAAGCAGGGAUUUGGAGAAGAUGAUUGAGGUUAGAUGAGUGUUCUCAGGGUUGAAACCCUGUAUCGGCGUUCUUCACAAAGAUCCUGUUUAAUAUUUGAAACAUAUUUGGGGAUAACAUUCUGAUUAUUUUUUUUAAAUCAAUGUUCUAUUGAAAAAAAAUCCUCAUAAAUUGAGGUGUAUUUUAUUCAAAUUUUAAUAGACUGAUUUUCAUCUAUACAUUUUAAUGUAUUGUAUGUAAUUUUGUUUGACGCAAA